UUGGAUUGAAUUAGAGAGUUUGGGGUUUGUUGUUAGACCAUUUCUAACUUGUUUAGACUCCUAGGUGGUUACUUUAGGGAUUAGAAUGUGUAGAAGUGAAAUUGGGUGAGUUUAGGGUAAUCAAGUUGGUUUAGGUAGCUACUUUGAGUUAGAAAAGUGUUUUUAGAUGUUUCACAAUGGAUAAAAGGUUCUAAGAAUCAGUUAAACAUGUGUGGAGAGUGUCCAAGGUCAUCUUAAGAGUAUAACAAGUUUUGGUGUCAUGUUGAGCACCCUUUGAGUGUCCUCUUCCAGUGAGUUCUGGUGCUGAGUGCCCCUGAGCGCUCUUUUCUAGUGGCAUCUAGCACCUUGGUGCUCAUUCCAGAAAGUGGGCGCC
rnacentral:lncRNA from 1 species